rnacentral:rRNA from 1 species
GAUGAACGCUGGCGGCGUGCCUAAUACAUGCAAGUCGAGCGAACGGACGAGAAGCUUGCUUCUCUGAUGUUAGCGGCGGACGGGUGAGUAACACGUGGAUAACCUACCUAUAAGACUGGGAUAACUUCGGGAAACCGGAGCUAAUACCGGAUAAUAUUUUGAACCGCAUGGUUCAAAAGUGAAAGACGGUCUUGCUGUCACUUAUAGAUGGAUCCGCGCUGCAUUAGCUAGUUGGUAAGGUAACGGUUUACCAAGGCAACGAUGCAUAGCCGACCUGAGAGGGUGAUCGGCCACACUGGAACUGAGAGACGGUCCAGACUCCUACGGGAGGCAGCAGUAGGGAAUCUUCCGCAAUGGGCGAAAGCCUGACGGAGCAACGCCGCGUGAGUGAUGAAGGUCUUCGGAUCGUAAAACUCUGUUAUUAGGGAAGAACAUAUGUGUAAGUAACUGUGCACAUCUUGACGGUACCUAAUCAGAAAGCCACGGCUAACUACGUG